AUUGAACGCUGGCGGCAUGCUUUACACAUGCAAGUCGAACGGUAACAGGCCGCAAGGUGCUGACGAGUGGCGAACGGGUGAGUAAUGCAUCGGAACGUGCCCAGUCGUGGGGGAUAACGCAGCGAAAGCUGUGCUAAUACCGCAUGCGAUCUGUGGAUGAAAGCGGGGGACCUUCGGGCCUCGCGCGAUUGGAGGGGCCGAUGUCAGAUUAGGUAGUUGGUGGGGUAAAGGCUCACCAAGCCGACGAUCUGUAGCUGGUCUGAGAGGACGACCAGCCACACUGGGACUGAGACACGGCCCAGACUCCUACGGGAGGCAGCAGUGGGGAAUUUUGGACAAUGGGCGCAAGCCUGAUCCAGCAAUGCCGCGUGCAGGAAGAAGACCUUCGGGUUGUAAACUGCUUUUGUACGGAGCGAAAAGGCUCCCUCUAAUACAGGGGGCUCAUGACGGUACCGUAAGAAUAAGCACCGGCUAACUACGUGCCAGCAGCCGCCGCCG
rnacentral:rRNA from 1 species